GCGUUGUCCGGAAUCAUUGGGCGUAAAGCGCGUGUAGGCGGGUCGGUAAGUCUGCUCUGAAAGUCCAAGGCUCAACCUUGGGAUGCGGGUGGAUACUGCCGACCUCGAGUCCGGAAGAGGCGAGUGGAAUUCCUGGUGUAGCGGUGAAAUGCGCAGAUAUCAGGAGGAACACCAAUGGCGAAGGCAGCUCGCUGGGACGUGACUGACGCUGAGACGCGAAAGCGUG
rnacentral:rRNA from 1 species